CUCCAAGUGGAUGAAAGUAUCAAGAACCGGAACAAGAGUUUUUCAUUGCCCUAUUUGAGAAGAGCUGCGUGAAUGGCUUUUAUAUUCAGGAUAGAGAUACAUUCUUCAAUCCAACCACCAGAAGCCGCAUUUGCAACUUCAGCCUCCGUCAGAGGACCUCAGCUGCCCCAGCGAACAGGUCCUUCUGUACAGGGAAUGGGAUCCUCCUCGAAGCAUUGACAAGAAGCAGCCCUUAGAUCUCAUCAGGAAAUUCUACGGAGAGAUGGUCGGAAUCUACUUUGCUUGGCUGGGC